rnacentral:lncRNA from 1 species
UGGAUUGGGCUCCCCUCCACAUCCUCCCAUGACGAGGGCGAAGCACUUCUCUAACAAGCCCUGCUCCUGCUCGAGAAAAAAACUUCAAUGGAGCUAGCCUUCGCAGCAGCAAACUGGUUCAGUUCCUCUUUUCUCUUUCUGCAUCUAAAUCACCGAAAACCUAACCUCCAAUCUUACUUCUAGGAGAAGCGAGUACUGUGGGGACACUAUCUAGCCUUUCGCAUGCGAGCAGCAGUGAAGCAAAGGUGCCUCCAGGUUUGAUUCUUGCUGUAGAUUAGUUUUCAAAUUUUGCUUCUUUGGUUUCUCCGAGUUUUCUUUGGGAUUGGCCUUCUUUGUUUGAUUUUUUAAAAAAAGAUUUUUUUAGGAGAGGAAGGAAUUCCUGCGAUCCAGGCCCGCAAGGGCCGAAGGUUCC